rnacentral:rRNA from 1 species
GAUGAACGCUGGCGGCGUGCCUAAUACAUGCCAGUCGAGCGAACGGACGAGAAGCUUGCUUUUCCGAUGUUAGCGGCGGACGGGUGAGUAACACGUGGAUAACCUACCUAUAAGACUGGGAUAACUUCGGGAAACCGGAGCUAAUACCGGAUAAUAUUUUGAACCGCAUGGUUCAAAAGUGAAAGACGGUCUUGCUGUCACUUAUAGAUGGAUCCGCGCUGCAUUAGCUAGUUGGUAAGGUAACGGCUCACCAAGGCAACGAUGCAUAGCCGACCUGAGAGGGUGAUCGGCCACACUGGAACUGAGACACGGUCCAGACUCCUACGGGAGGCAGCAGUAGGGAAUCUUCCGCAAUGGGCGAAAGCCUGACGGAGCAACGCCGCGUGAGUGAUGAAGGUCUUCGGAUCGUAAAACUCUGUUAUUAGGGAAGAACAUAUGUGUAAGUAACUGUGGACAUCUUGACGGUACCUAAUCAGAAAGCCACGGCUAACUACGUG